rnacentral:misc_RNA from 1 species
GAUGAAGAACGUAGUGAAAUGCGAUAAGUAAUGUGAAUUGCAGAAUCCAGUGAAUCAUCGAAUCUUUGAACGCACAUUGCGCCCGCCAGCAUUCUGGCGGGCAUGCCUGUUCGAGCGUCAUUUCAACCCUCGACCUCCCCUUGGGGAGGUCGGCGUUGGGGACCGGCAGCACACCGCCGGCCCUGAAAUGGAGUGGCGGCCCGUCCGCGGCGACCUCUGCGCAGUAAUACAGCUCGCACCGGGACCCCGACGCGGCCACGCCGUAAAACACCCAACUUCUGAACGUUGACCUCGAAUCAGGUAGGACUACCCGCUGAACUUAAGCAUAUCAAUAAGCGGAGGA